UUAAUCCAAAAAUACACGACAUAGACUGAUUAAUCUCGCCCAUAGGUAGAAAACGAAGCACCUCUUUCAAGAUCGAAACAGGGAAGAAGGAGGGAAAAUAGGAAUCAAGAAGAUGAAGGAGAAUCGUGCAGGAAGAACACAUGAAGGAGUUAAGAAGUCUAUGCACCUGAUCCGUAGAAGAGAGAAGCAAGAAGCCGACACCUGAACUCUACAGCUGCUCGCCGUCCGGCAGAGGUUUGGAGAUCGGUUCUCACCGGUGGCACCAUCGUGAUCACCAUAGUCUACCUAUGAUCUACAGCUCUCAAAAAUUCCUCAACUGAAUAGUCAUUGUGCAAGGAAGCUUACCAUACCUCUUUUAAAGUUUUAAGUGCCAGGCCAUAAUUAUGGUAAAUGCAUUGUCUCAGAAAGGGGCUGUCGGAGGUUUUCUUGUCACUAACACCUGAACGUUUGAAUUUGCUGGUUGGUGGAGGUAGUGAGAAGAUGGAAUAUGAUUAUUUAUUAAAUUUGCCGCAAGUAUUUGCUACAUUUAUUGAAGAAUAUUUAACGCCCUCCAUUUAAUAAGAUUUAAUUUUUCCUCUUUUCCAUUCACCUCAUAAGGGAUUCUGAGAGUUAUGGUUUCUUUCAAUUUUCUGGUGUGAAUUAGGAUUUAAAAUUUCUAAUCUAGAAUUUUGAUUCAGUGCUAAUAUUGAAGUAAAUAAUCAAGUAUUUUAAGCCCCUUUUGUUAAUUUAUUAACUUCUCUUCUUCUUUUGUUUUUGUCCCAGGAUAAUGAAGAGAUUAUAAUCAAACUUUACUCGAGAAUGUUUGAAACUCCCAAUGCAAAGUAUAACUAAUAAAGAGAUUCAUUCCAUUAAUUGAAAUUUUUGAUAUAUUCUAAAUCUCAAUUGCAUAUGUUGUCGUGCGUAAGUGUUAUUUUCAGCAUUGGGUCCUAAGUUUUCAUUGAAUUUACUAACUGUUGUGUAUAUGAGUGGGUGUGUCAAAAGUGAAGCCUCACAUUGUCCAAGAGAGAGGGGCUCAAGUGUAUAAAUGCUAUCAUACACUAUAGGGCUAGUGAAUGGGCCUAGAGGAGAAGGAGGAUCUCGCGCACAUGAUAACAGCCCACCGAAGGGAAUGCAGUUGAAAACUGGAGGCACAUAAAAUAUGGGAGUCGCUGAUCGUGAAAUACACUGCUGA